CCUCCAUUGUGUGAGAGCGUGUUCCUGACUGCUCGUGUGUGUGUGUUUGUGUGUCUGUUUGUGUGUCUGGGUGAAUGGGAUUUGCGAGAAUGUGCCGUGUUUGUUCGUCUUCGUGUAUUACCUUCUACACCGUGAUCUUAUUUGAUCCGGCCGGAUGCAGGCCCCGCUCCGGCCCGGAGAUGAUAGGACCCGGAACGCGAGCCGCUGGCGGCAGUGAGCGGGAGCAUUUCGAGCCCGGGGCGUCCGCAGGCGAGCUUGCGGUCAGACGUGAUGAGUUGAUCAGAUAUACUAGUGCAGACGCGGUCGCCCGCUCCGCGCCAUGAGUAUACCGGCGAUUCUGAUCUCG
ensembl:scaRNA small Cajal body-specific RNA 2